rnacentral:rRNA from 1 species
UACGGAGGGAGCUAGCGUUGUUCGGAAUUACUGGGCGUAAAGCGCGCGUAGGCGGCUUUGUAAGUUAGAGGUGAAAGCCCGGAGCUCAACUCCGGAACUGCCUUUAAAACUGCAUCGCUUGAAUCCAGGAGAGGUGAGUGGAAUUCCGAGUGUAGAGGUGAAAUUCGUAGAUAUUCGGAAGAACACCAGUGGCGAAGGCGGCUCACUGGACUGAUAUUGACGCUGAGGUGCGAAAGCGUGGGGAGCAAACAGG